AUUGAACGCUGGCGGCAGGCCUAACACAUGCAAGUCGAACGGUAACAGGAAGAGCUUUGCUUCUUUGCUUUCGCGUGGCGGGCGUGAGAGACAUGUCUGUGAAACUGCUUGAUGGAGGGGGAUAACUACUGGAACCGGUAGCUAAUACCGCAUAUUGUCGCAACCCCAAGGUGGGGGAGCUACAGGCGUCUUUCCUUUGGAUGAUCCCUGGAGGGAUUAGCUAGUAGGUGGGGUAACGGCUCACCUAGGCGACGAUCCGUAGCUGGUCUGAGAGGUUGACCAGCCACACUGGAACUGAGACACGGUCCAGACUCCUACGGGAGGCAGCAGUAGGGAAUAUUGCGCAAUGGGCGAAAGCCUGAUGGAGCUAUGCCGCGUGUAUGAAGAAGGCCUUCGGAUCGUAAAGCUCUGUCAGCGGGGAAGAAGAGAUGAGUGAUAAUAUCUGCACGUAUUGACGUUACCUGAAGAGAAAGCAACGGCUAACUACGUG
rnacentral:rRNA from 1 species